rnacentral:rRNA from 1 species
UCGGGAAUUUUGGGCAAUGGGCGAAAGCCUGACCCAGCAACGCCGCGUGAAGGAUGAAGUAUUUCGGUAUGUAAACUUCGAAAGAAUAGGAAGAAUAAAUGACGGUACUAUUUAUAAGGUCCGGCUAACUACGUGCCAGCAGCCGCGGUAAUACGUAGGGACCAAGCGUUGUUCGGAUUUACUGGGCGUAAAGGGCGCGUAGGCGGCAUGACAAGUCACUUGUGAAAUCUCUGGGCUUAACCCAGAACGGCCAAGUGAUACUGUCGCGCUAGAGUGCAGAAGGGGCAAUCGGAAUUCUUGGUGUAGCGGUGAAAUGCGUAGAUAUCAAGAGGAACACCUGAAGUGAAGACGGGUUGCUGGGCUGACACUGACGCUGAGGCGCGAAAGCCAGGGGAGCAAACGGGAUUAGAUACCCAAGUAGUCCCUGAGCGGGCUGGCAAGCGCAU